AUUGAACGCUGGCGGCAGGCCUAACACAUGCAAGUCGAGCGAGAACCAGCCCUUCGGGGCUGGGGACAGCGGCGAACGGGUGAGUAACAUGUGGGUAAUCAACCCUCGGUACUGGGAUAGCCCGGGGAAACCCGGAUUAAUACCGGAUGGCCCUUCGGAUUCUCGGAUCUGAAGGAAAAGGUAGCUUCGGCCUCCGAACGAGGACGAGUCCGCGGCGGAUUAGCUUGUUGGUGGGGUAACGGCCUACCAAGGCUGCGAUCCGUAGCUGGUUUGAGAGGACGAUCAGCCACACUGGGACUGAGACACGGCCCAGACUCCUACGGGAGGCAGCAGUGGGGAAUCUUGCGCUAAUGCGGGAAACCGUGACGCAGCGACGCCGCGUGAGGGAAGAAGGCCUUCGGGUUGUAAACCUCUUUCAGGAGGGACGAAGCUACUCGGGUUAAUAGCCCAGAGGGUGACGGUACCUCCAGAAGAAGCCCCGGCUAACUACGUGCCAGCAGCCGCAGUAACAC
rnacentral:rRNA from 1 species